rnacentral:precursor_RNA from 1 species
CGAACACAUCACUGAUUCCUUUUCAGCUUGCAUUUCAAGCCUUUCUGUACUUCCCUUAUCACCUUAAUUCUUCACACCAUACCUCUGAAUUUGUGAUGGAUGAUCUGAAGAAUGGAAUCUUACCUAGAAUUAGAUCAAAGAACUGAAAGAAUCACCUACCGAAGAUCGCGAGAUGUUGAGAGCUAGAAAGAGGGAUACAGCCUAGCAUGGGGGAUGAGAAUCACUCUCUUAGCCAUGAAGGCUCACCAUCUUCCAUAUUUCAUCCACCAUCGGAGAACCCCAAGUGUGUUCCAGUGAUGAACCAAAUAGUGGAGAUAGGCAAGCCAUUCUUGGCUAACAGAGGCAAUCUCCUCAUCUCCAUGUAAGGCUACCCUCCUCACAAGUUUACUCUGCUUAAUUAACUGCCCUUAAUUGCUUGCCAUUUCAGCUAGUGUGCACCAAGUAUUUAUAGUGUGGACAAGAGGGUGGGGAUAGGGAUCAGAUAAUGAUGCCUUGAUCUCUUUCUGAAUGCUUUGCAAGUUGCAUGCCACAGUUGGGUUUUGACCCUUCUCCAUAGAUAUGUAGAAUAUAUUCAGUUGGCAUGCAGUCUUUUCAACAAAAUCCUAGCUUAGCCAGAUCAGAUAUCAAAGGAUAGAUUAGAAUGUUUGAAAUUGUGGAUAGCUUUUUUCUAGUUUGCAAAUUUAUCAAUAAGGCUGAUUGUUCCUAGGGAAUU